CUUCAAUAUCGUUUUAGCAACAGAAAGUGAUACGCAGAGAUAUAAUUUCGGGCUACCUCAUCAUUUUUAUCCCUUGUCUCGAAGCCUUAACAGAGAGAGGUGAGAAGCACCUUUCUUUUGCCAAGAGGCUUCGAUCAGAUUCAAUCGACCCUGAGUGUUAUCUCAUAUUUGAGGUUAAGCGGGAAGUUUGAGUAAAAGUUGGUUAUACAUAUCAACAAUGGAGGACAUUCCGAUC